UGCAGUCAUCACAAAGCUUGACUGGGGUCAAGACACACUUUUAAGCUGUCUCAUAGGGGUGCCUCAUGACAUGGCAGCUGGUUUUUCCCAGGUCAAGUGCUGCCAGAGAGAGUUAGAGCACCCAAGAUGGAAGCUGUGGCCUUUAAUCUUGGAAGGGACAUAGCAUCACUUCUGUCAUGUUACACUCUUUGGCAGCAACUGACUAGGUCCAGCCCACUCAAUGGGAAGUUUGGCACCUUGGACUGGGUUCAGCUGGAUGGUUUUUCUAGUCUCAGCGAGGCUCACUGCAUCUGCAGUCACUUUGCAGCAGGCUGGGUAGGCUACCUCCAUGGUAGCAGCAAGGUUCCAAGCAAGCAGAAGCAGACAAGACAGGCCUUUUGAUGUCCAAGUUUGGAGCACACACAUCACCGCUACAAUACUCUUUUGGCAGUCCAGAGUCAAAGAUCCAGAAACUGAGAUCCAAAGUGGCCAACAUCACAAAACCUUGAGUGGACCACGAUCUACUAACUCGGCUCGGAGUGAUUUUAUCAACAUCACACUGAUAAACAUAAGUGAGAAAGCUGA